UACGGGGGGAGCAAGCGUUGUUCGGAUUUACUGGGCGUAAAGGGCGCGUAGGCGGCGCAACAAGUCACUUGUGAAAUCUCCGUGCUUAACUCGGAGCGGCCAAGUGAUACUGUCGUGCUGGAGUGCGGAAGGGGCAACCGGAAUUCUUGGUGUAGCGGUGAAAUGCGUAGAUAUCAAGAGGAACACCUGCGGCGAAGGCGGGUUGCUGGGCCGACACUGACGCUGAGGCGCGAAAGCUAGGGGAGCGAACGGGAUUAGAAACCCUAGUAGUCC
rnacentral:rRNA from 1 species